UCCUACGGGAGGCAGCAGUAGGGAAUCUUCCGCAAUGGACGAAAGUCUGACGGAGCAACGCCGCGUGCAGGAUGAAGGCCUUCGGGUCGUAAAACUCUGUUGUUAGGGAAGAACGAGUGCUAGUUGAAUAAGCUGGCACCUUGACGGUACCUAACCAGAAAGCCACGGCUAACUACGUGCCAGCAGCCGCGGUAAUACGUAGGUGGCAAGCGUUAUCCGGAAUUAUUGGGCGUAAAGCGCGCGCAGGUGGUUUCUUAAGUCUGAUGUGAAAGCCCACGGCUCAACCGUGGAGGGUCAUUGGAAACUGGGAGACUUGAGUGCAGAAGAGGAAAGUGGAAUUCCAUGUGUAGCGGUGAAAUGCGUAGAGAUAUGGAGGAACACCAGUGGCGAAGGCGACUUUCUGGUCUGUAACUGACACUGAGGCGCGAAAGCGUGGGGAGCAAACAGGAUUAGAUACCCUGGUAGUCCACGCCGUAAACGAUGAGUGCUAAGUGUUAGAGGGUUUCCGCCCUUUAGUGCUGAAGUUAACGCAUUAAGCACUCCGCCUGGGGAGUACGGCCGCAAGGCUGAAACUCAAAGGAAUU
rnacentral:rRNA from 1 species